rnacentral:rRNA from 1 species
CCAAGAAGUCUAACAUGUACGCAAGUCAUUGGGUUUAUAAAACCUAAAGGCGUAAGGAAAGUGAACAAAGUUUUACUUUUUUUAAGGAAGAUGAUUGUUGUUUAAAUUAAACGCAAUCCGCAUUCCUGGGGCGCUUAAUUGAUUUCGUAUUAAAGCGCACCUAGAGCGUACAUGUUGGGACCCGAAAGAUGGUGAACUAUGCCCGGCCAGGACGAAGCCAGGGGAAACCCUGGUGGAGGUCCGUAGCGAUUCUGACGUGCAAAUCGAUCGUCAGAGCUGGGUAUAGGGGCGAAAGACUAAUCGAACCAUCUAGUAGCUGGUUCCUUCCGAAGUUUCCCUCAGGAUAGCUGGCAUUUAUGAUGAGACGAGUCUCAUCUGGUAAAGCGAAUGAUUAGAGGCAUUGGGGUCGAAACGACCUCAACCUAUUCUCAAACUUUAAAUGGAUGAGAGCCCUGGCUUACUUAAAUAGUGAAGCCAGGGAGUUGGAUCAAAAUGCCAAGUGGGCCAAUUUU